AACGAACGCUGGCGGCAGGCUUAACACAUGCAAGUCGAACGCCCCGCAAGGGGAGUGGCAGACUGGUGAGUAGCGCGUGGGGAGAUAACCUUGUCUACGACCUAGCCCUGGGAAACUGGUAAUAAUACCGUAUACGGCCUACGGGGGGAAGAUUUAUCGGGGGGGGUGUGGGCCGCGGUGGAUUAGCUAGUGGGUGGGGUAAAGGCCUACCAAGGCGACGAUCCAGAGCUGGUGUGAGAGGAUGAUCAGCGACAUUGGGACUGGGACACGGCCCAAACUCCUACGAGAGGUAGCAGAGGGGAAAAAUGGGCAGGGAGCGUAAGCCAGAACCGGCCAUGCCGGGUGAGUGAUGAAGGCCUUAGAGUUGUAAAGCUCUUUCACCGAUGAAGAUAAGGACGGAAGUCGGAGAAGAGGCCCCGGCAAACUUCGU
rnacentral:rRNA from 1 species